UACGUAGGGGGCAAGCGUUGUCCAGAUUUAUUGGGCGUAAAGAGCGUGUAGGCGGUCAGGUAGGUCCGUUGUGAAAACUCGAGGCUCAACCUCGAGACGCCGAUGGAAACCAUCUGACUAGAGUCCGGAAGAGGAGAGUGGAAUUCCUGGUGUAGCGGUGAAAUGCGCAGAUAUCAGGAAGAACACCCGUGGCUAAGGCGGCUCUCUAGUACGGUACUGACGCUGAGACGCGAAAGCGUGGGGAGCGAACAGG
rnacentral:rRNA from 1 species